rnacentral:rRNA from 1 species
CCCUUAGAUGUCCUGGGCCGCACGCGCGUUACACCGAUGCAUUCAACGAGCUUAUAACCUUGGCCGAGAGGCCUGGGCAAUCUUGUUAACGUGCAUCGUGAUAGGGAUAGAUUAUUGAAAUUAUUAAUCUUGAACGAGGAAUUCCUAGUAAACGCAGAUCAUCAAUCUGCAUUGAUUACGUCCCUGCCCUUUGUACACACCGCCCGUCGCUCCUACCGAUUGAAUGAUCCGAUGAAUAUCAUGGAUUGAGGAUGCAAGUAGGUUCACCUAUCUUCAUCUUCGAGAAGUGAAGUAAAUCUUAUCAUUUAGAGGAAGGAGAAGUCGUAACA